rnacentral:tRNA from 1 species
ACGCAAUGAAAUCAGUAUAUAACGCCCUUCUAAGCCGUAGGUCACAGGUUCGAAUCCUGUAGGGCGUACCA